rnacentral:rRNA from 1 species
CCAUUAUCCAGCUCAGAAAAAUUGUCUCUUGCAGAAGGUAAAAUUUUGAGUCAGGAAGAUAGCACAAAAUAUAGAAGUCUCGUAGGAGCUCUUCAAUAUCUCACUCUUACCAGACCAGAUUUAUCUUUUGCUGUCAACAAAAUCUGCCAGUUUUUGCAUGCACCUACUGAUGUUCACUUGACAGCUGCCAAGCGUAUAGUCAGAUAUGUUAAACAUACUCUCAAUAUAGGUCUAAAUUUCAGCAAGUCAUCUUCUACUCUUGUCAGUGCCUUUUCUGAUUCAGAUUGGGCAGGAUGCCUUGAUGACAGACGCUCAACAGGUGGUUUUGCAGUCUUUUUUGGACCUAACUUAAUAUCAUGGUGUGCACGCAAACAGGCUACUGUAUCCAGGUCAAGCACUGAGGCAAAGUACAAGGCAUUAGCAAAUGCUACAGCUGAAAUCAUAUGGGUUCAGUCUAUGUUGAAAGAGCUUGGAGUAAAGAGCAAGCAAGCUCCAUGUCUGUGGUGUGACAAUCUUGGAGCCACUUAUCUUUCUGCU